rnacentral:rRNA from 1 species
AGAGUUUGAUCAUGGCUCAGCCUGAACGCUGGCGGCGUGGCUAAGACAUGCAAGUCGCACGGAUGUAGCAAUACAUCAGUGGCGAACGGGUGAGUAAUGAAUCGCUAAUGUACCCCGGACUCUGGGAUAGCCAGCCGAAAGGCUGGGUAAUACCAGAUGAUAUAACCGAGCCGCAUGGUUUGGUUCUCAAAGGUCCGCCGGUCUGGGCGCAGGCGAUUUCGUAUCAGCUUGUUGGUGAGGUAACGGCUCACCAAGGCGACGACGCGUAGCCGGACUGAGAGGUUGGCCGGCCAUAUUGGGACUGAGACACUGCCCAGACUCCUACGGGGGGCUGCAGUAACGAAUCUUCCGCAAUGCACGAAAGUGUGACGGAGCGACGCCGCGUGUGGGACGAAGCCCUUCGGGGUGUAAACCACUGUCAGGGGAAAGAAAGUUCUGAUCUACCCCAGAGGAAGGCACGGCUAACUCUGUGCCAGCAGCCGCGGUAAUAC